rnacentral:lncRNA from 1 species
UGAGUCAUGUUAGGCAUUGUCCUAACAAAUUAUUUUCACUAUGUGAAAUGCUUCCCAUGAUUAAACAAACACUUUCCUAAUUAAUUAGAAGAUACCCAAGGUUAAGGUAGUCUUUCCUAAUUAAUUAAAGGAUACAAGAAUCAAUAAAAUUAACUAUGAACCAGCAAGUUCUAAUGAUAAAACAAAAGGAACAAUAAAAUUGUAGUUAAUUAAAAUUAAAACAAAAGUAAAAGAAAGAACAGAUAUUAGAGGGAGUGAGAAAC